rnacentral:rRNA from 1 species
UGAAUACGAGACGCUAAGGCGUCGAAGUAGUGUAUGUCAUACUUCCAAGAAAAGCUUGCACUGUCAUAAGUAAAAAAUGCCUGUACCAUAACCGACACAGGUGGGUAGGUAGAGUAUACUAAGGGGCGCGAGAUAACUCUCUCUAAGGAACUCGGCAAAAUAACUCCGUAACUUCGGGAGAAGGAGUACCAUAUUCUAUAAGGUUGCAAUAACAAGAUCCAAGCAACUGUUUAUCAAAAACACAGGUCUCCGCUAAGUCGUAAAACGAUGUAUGGGGGCUGACGCCUGCCCAGUGCCAGAAGGUUAAAGAAGUCGGUUAGCAUUAGCGAAGCUGGUAACUGAAGCCCUGGUGAACGGCGGCCGUAACAAUAACGGUCCUAAGGUAGCGAAAUUCCUUGUCGGGUAAGUUCCGACCCGCACGAAAGGCGUAAUGAUUUGGAUACUGUCUCGGAGAGGGGCUCGGUGAAAUAGACUUGUCUGUGAAGAUGCGGACUACCUGCACCAGGACAGAAAGACCCUAUGAAGCUUUACUGUAACUUGAAAUUGAAAUUGGACUUUAUUCGCGCAGUAUAGGUGGGAGGUGUUGAUUAUAAUCUUGCGGGAUUAUUGGAGCCAUCAGUGAGAUACCACUCUUGUAAUGUUAGAUUUCUAACUUUGAAUCAUUAUCUGGUCAAAGGACAGUUUCAGGCGGGCAGUUUGACUGGGGCGGUCGCCUCCCAAACGGUAACGGAGGCGUACAAAGGUUUCCUCUGAACGGGUAGAAAUCGUAUCUAGAGUGUAAAGGCAUAAGGAAGCUUGACUGUGAGACCUACAAGUCGAACAGGGACGAAAGUCGGUCUUAGUGAUCUGACGGUACUGAGUGGAAAGGCCGUCACUCAACGGAUAAAAGUUACUCUAAGGAUAACAGGCUGAUCUCCCCCAAGAGUUCACAUCGACGGGGAGGUUUGGCACCUCGAUGUCGGCUCAUCGCAUCCUGGGGCGGUAGUACGUCCCAAGGGUUGGGCUGUUCGCCCAUGAAAGCGGUACGCGAGCUGGGUUCAGAACGUCGUGAGACAGUUCGGUCCAUAUCCGGUGUAGGCGUUAGAAUAUUGAGAGGAGCCUUCUUUAGUACGAGAGGACCGAGAAGGACAUACCUCUGGUGUACCAGUUAUCGUGCCAACGGUAAACGCUGGGUAGCUAUGUAUGGAGUGGAUAACCGCUGAAAGCAUCUAAGUGGGAAGCCCACCUCAAGAUAAGUAUUCUCA